CCAUAGCCUCGAUGUAAACGGCAUCCUUUUUUGUUGCAGACGCAGCGAAGCGGAGACUGUGACAAAAAAGAUAUAGUGAACAGCGGGAUUAAGC
rnacentral:sRNA from 1 species